CUGCGACCGUCUGGCGCCAGCGCACUGCAGGUGGGGAGCGGGCGUUGGAAGUUGCUGGAAGUUGGAGGCAGGGGAGCGGUCACUCGCGGCGAGCGCUGGCGGCGGCCAGGGCGCAAAGUUGAGAGCAGUCGCUAGUCUGAGCCUUUCAGUCGCCCUCCAGUAUCAUCAGUACCACGGACUUCACCAUGGACUUACCGCUUGCUGCGGCCCCUCAGCAACCCAGUGCACCUGCCACUCCACCAGAAGAGCCAUGUGACCGGAUCCCCAGUUUGGCAGAGGAGACAUGUGAGAGGACGGAACGUUUUGGCCGAAAAGACAUCUGGCAGGGAAUAGAGAGAACAGCUGUGGCAGAGAGAACGUCUGAGAAGCUUGCACGAUUCGCAGAAGGAGCAUCGGUAGAAGAUUGCCUGUUUGCCCAAAGGAACAUCAAGUUCCAAAGGAAUGUUUCUGGCGGCUUACAAGGACUAUCUCCAACGUGCUUGGUCUCGCUUAACUUUCCCAGGAUCCUGAAUCGGGCAUCUACUGUUCGUCCUUACUGCUCUGGGAUGUCUCGGUCUUACCAUGUCCCUGCCAACCCUGGUCCCAUCUUGUCACGAUCACCCACUGAAGAGAGGAGGUGCUGGAGUGAACGUGGUUGGGGGAGCCUCGUUCAUCCCCAGGGUCCCAGAAUGAACCAGUGUUACUAUGUACCCCUGGUCUUGCCUUCCUCCCUGCUCUAA
rnacentral:lncRNA from 1 species